AAUUCUCAACUGCCCCAGGCUUUGUGGCUUGUGGGUGAAGUUGGACUUGGAGAUAUGCUGGCGCAUGAAUGGGCUUUAAGCCCUGUUGUGCUUGUCGGCUCCUCUUGAAUGCAUGAGCUUUCCAAUCCUUGGCAAAGUAUCGUCGAUGUGAUAAUUAUCUAUGUCGCCCGAGAAAGCCGAAAAGGGGAAAUCUUUGAUCACGCUGGGGUGACCCGCGUCUGACAC
rnacentral:misc_RNA from 1 species